rnacentral:rRNA from 1 species
AAACUAACAAGGAUUCCCCUAGUAACUGCGAGUGAAGCGGGAAAAGCUCAAAUUUAAAAUCUGGCGGUCUUUGGCCGUCCGAGUUGUAGUCUGGAGAAGUGCUUUCCGCGCUGGACCGUGUAUAAGUCUCUUGGAACAGAGCGUCAUAGAGGGUGAGAAUCCCGUCUUUGACACGGACUACCAGUGCUUUGUGAUGCGCUCUCGAAGAGUCGAGUUGUUUGGGAAUGCAGCUCAAAAUGGGUGGUAAAUUCCAUCUAAAGCUAAAUAUUGGCGAGAGACCGAUAGCGAACAAGUACCGUGAGGGAAAGAUGAAAAGCACUUUGGAAAGAGAGUUAAACAGUACGUGAAAUUGCUGAAAGGGAAACGCUUGAAGUCAGUCGCGUCUGCCGGAACUCAGCCUUGCUUUCGCUUGGUGCAUUUUCCGGUAGACGGGCCAGCAUCGAUUUUGACCGUCGGAUAAGGGCCAGGGAAAUGUGGCACCCUCGGGUGUGUUAUAGUCUUUGGUCGCAUACGACGGUUGGGAUCGAGGAACGCAGCGCGCCGCAAGGCAGGGGUUCGCCCACUUUCGCGCUUAGGAUGCUGGCGUAAUGGCUUUAAACGACC